GAUGAACGCUGGCGGCGUGCCUAAUACAUGCAAGUCGAGCGAACAGACGAGGAGCUUGCUCCUCUGACGUUAGCGGCGGACGGGUGAGUAACACGUGGAUAACCUACCUAUAAGACUGGGAUAACUUCGGGAAACCGGAGCUAAUACCGGAUAAUAUAUUGAACCGCAUGGUUCAAUAGUGAAAGACGGUUUUGCUGUCACUUAUAGAUGGAUCCGCGCCGCAUUAGCUAGUUGGUAAGGUAACGGCUUACCAAGGCAACGAUGCGUAGCCGACCUGAGAGGGUGAUCGGCCACACUGGAACUGAGACACGGUCCAGACUCCUACGGGAGGCAGCAGUAGGAAAUCUUCCGCAAUGGGCGAAAGCCUGACGGGGCAACGCCGCGUGAGUGAUGAAGGUCUUCGGAUCGUAAAACUCUGUUAUUAGGGAAGAACAAAUGUGUAAGUAACUAUGCACGUCUUGACGGUACCUAAUCAGAAGGCCACGGCUAACUACGU
rnacentral:rRNA from 1 species